rnacentral:rRNA from 1 species
UACGAAGGGGGCUAGCGUUGCUCGGAAUCACUGGGCGUAAAGCGCACGUAGGCGGCUUACUAAGUCAGGGGUGAAAUCCUGGAGCUCAACUCCAGAACUGCCUUUGAUACUGGUGAGCUUGAGUCCGGAAGAGGUGAGUGGAACUGCGAGUGUAGAGGUGAAAUUCGUAGAUAUUCGCAAGAACACCAGUGGCGAAGGCGGCUCACUGGCCCGGUACUGACGCUGAGGAGCGAAAGCGUGGGGAGCGAACAGG